CAAAGCACUUUGAAGAGAGAGUUAAAGAGGACGUGAAACCGGUAAGGUGGAAACGGAUAGAGUCGGCGUAUCAUUCAAUUAUUCAGUUACAUUAUUUUUAUGUUGUGACCUCUGAGCUCCAGAUUGGGACAGAGGGAAUCAGCAUAAUUUUUUGUGGUGCAUUUACUUGAUUGGUGCUUGGGGAUGUUUGAGGCAGAUUUGUUUCCGUCGUUUUGAGGCCAGCUUGCUGGUACCCAAACGGUGUUAGCAUUUUUUGUCUUGGGCAUUUGAGUAUGGCUCACGUGUAUUUAUUGGACAGAUCUGAGUGUAAGUUACGGUCGCAUGCGACGCGUGCUUUUCAAUUAGUUCGGUCCAGUUAAUGCUCUCGUACUCCUUCCCCAUGUAAAAGCCGGUCAUCUAUCCGACCCGUCUUGAAACGCGGACCAAGGAGUUUAUCGUGUGCGCAAGUUUUUGGGUGUUAAAAACCUAAAAGCGAAAUGAAAGUAAAUGGCUCUUUAGAGUCUGAUGUGCGAUCUUGUUAAAAAGUGCAGCAUGGCCCCAUUCUAACUGUUUACAGUAGGGUGGCGGAAGAGCGUACGCGGUGAGACCCGAAAGAUGGUGAACUAUUCCUGAGCAGGACGAAGCCAGAGGAAACUCUGGUGGAAGUCCGAAGCGGUUCUGACGUGCAAAUCGAUCGUCUGACUUGGGUAUAGGGGCGAAAGACUAAUCGAACCAUC
rnacentral:rRNA from 1 species